rnacentral:rRNA from 1 species
GACAGAGGAGCCAAGCGUUGUCCGGAUUGACUGGGCGUAAAGGGCGCGUAGGUGGCGCGACAAGUCAACGGUGAAAGCUCGGCGCUCAACGCCGAGUCGGCCGUCGAUACUGUCGGGCUGGAGCACUGUAGAGGCAGAUGGAAUUCCGGGUGUAGCGGUGGAAUGCGUAGAGAUCCGGAAGAACACCGGUGGCGAAGGCGGUCUGCUGGGCAGUAGCUGACGCUGAGGCGCGACAGCGUGGGGAGCAAACAGG